UGAGAAUAAAUAAUAUUGUUUGUUCUGGUUCUUCUCUGGGAGAUUCUGCAUUGUUUUGCCAUUCACUUUCUGAAGAAAAUCUCUAUGGCACAUCCUGGCUCUUCUAAGGGCCGGCUUAAUACGGGAAGCCAAGUUUGCUUUGUUCAUCUGCAGCAGAGUUAAGAUUCUAUACAAUAAAUAUUCCCACAAUACCAAUAAUAACUUGCAUUAGAAAACUUCAUGUAGUGAUCUUUCCCUCAAGCACAUAGAAACAUACCCUUAGAACAUGACUGAUCUCGAAGGAGAUCAUACAUUUGUUGGUCAUGAGUUGUUUUGCUUGGAAAAGACAAAGGCAAAAGAGAGCCAAACAUACCCUCACUCUUAAGUAUGAGUUCUUCAUCCCAAAAAAAGAGAGAUAUUCUUCGGCGUACGUCCUUAGGCAAUGAGGAACCUUUAUAAAACUUAACAGUUUCUUCUUCUGUGCGUGUUCCCAAAGAAAGAAUAGACAUAACAAAAGAGAUUGUUAAGGCAAAAAAGUUGUAUUCACCUGAUGACCCAACUUGAGCCUGACACUCACUAAGAUCCCUUUAUAAAUUCCAAUAACAUCACCCUUACGGCAACAAAGAAGGCGUAUUUCUCUUUAUCAGCAACAGGAACAACGGUUGACAUAUAUUUGAUUUAGCAGUCUGUAUUUGAUCUCGAGGAAUAGCUAUGAGCCAUAUAGAGUCUAAGUGGACUCACCACCACACUUGCUUGGUUUAGACGGGUUUUGAAGGCAUGUAGAAGCAUUGACUCCAUGGGGAUUUUGGAACUGACGUAGCUAGAUGUAA
rnacentral:lncRNA from 1 species